UACGAAGGGGGCUAGCGUUGCUCGGAUUGACUGGGCGUAAAGGGCGCGUAGGCGGUUUGUACAGUCAGACGUGAAAUUCCUGGGCUCAACCUGGGGGCUGCGUUUGAUACGUGCAGACUUGAGUUCGGAAGAGGGUCGUGGAAUUCCCAGUGUAGAGGUGAAAUUCGUAGAUAUUCGGAAGAACACCGGUGGCGAAGGCGGCAUCCUGGACCGGCAUUGACGCUGAGGCGCGAAAGCCAGGGGAGCAAACGGG
rnacentral:rRNA from 1 species